AUGUGGUGCCCCCCCCUGCCGGUGGACGGGUUUACUGCAGUGUGUGUGUGUGAUGCCGCCCCCUGCUGGUGGACGGGUUUACUGCAGUGUGUGUGUGGUGCCGCCCCCUGCUGGUGGACGGGUUUACUGCAGUGUGUGUGUGGUGCCGCCCCCUGCUGGUGGACGGGUUUACUGCAGUGUGUGUGUGUGGUGCCGCCCCCUGCUGGUGGACGGAUUUACUGCAGUGUGUGUGUGUGUGGUGCCGCCCCCUGUUGGUGGACGGAUUUACUGCAGUGUGUGUGUGUGUGUGGUGCCGCCCCCUGCUGGUGGACAGGUUUACUGCAGUGUGUGUGUGGUGCCGCCCUCUGCUGGUGGACGGGUUUACUACAGUGUGUGUGUGUGUGUGAUGCCGCCCCCUGCUGGUGGACGGGUUUACUGCAGUGUGUGUGUAUGUGUGUGUGUGUGUGUGUGUGGUGCCGCCCUCUGCUGGUGGACGGGUUUACUGCAGUGUGUGUGUGGUGCCGCCCCCUGCUGGUGGACGGGUUUACUGCAGUGUGUGUGUGUGGUGCCGCCCACUGCUGGUGGACGGAUUUACUGCAGUGUGUGUGUGUGUGGUGCCGCCCCCUGCUGGUGGACGGGUUUACUGCAGUGUGUGUGUGGUGCCGCCCUCUGCUGGUGGACGGGUUUACUGCAGUGUGUGUGUGUGUGUGUGUAGUGCCGCCCCCUGCUGGUGGACGGGUUUACUGCAGUGUGUGUGUGUGGUGCCGCCCUCUGCUGGUGGACGGGUUUACUGCAGUGUGUGUGUGGUGCCGCCCUCUGCUGGUGGACGGGUUUACUGCAGUGUGUGUGUGUGUGUGUGUAGUGCCGCCCCCUGCUGGUGGACGGGUUUACUGCAGUGUGUGUGUGUGUGUGAUGCCGCCCCCUGCUGGUGGACGGGUUUACUGCAGUGUGUGUGUGUGUGUGUGUGUGUGUGUGUGUGGUGCCGCCCUCUGCUGGUGGACGGGUUUACUGCAGUGUGUGUGUGUGUGUGUGGUGCCACCCUCUGCUGGUGGAUGGGUUUACUGCAGUGUGAGUGUGGUGCCGCCCCCUGCUAGUGGACGGGUUUACUGCAGUGUGUGUGUGUGUGUGAUGCUGCUCUCUGCUGGUAGACAGGUUUACUGCAGUGUGUGUGUGUGGUGCCGCCCCCUGCUGGUGGACGGGUUUACUGCAGUGUGUGUGUGUGUGUGUGUGUGUGUGUGUGGUGCCGCCCUCUGCUGGUGGACGGGUUUACUGCAGUGUGAGUGUGGUGCCGCCCCCUGCUAGUGGACGGGUUUACUGCAGUGUGUGUGUGUGUGUGUGUGAUGCUGCUCUCUGCUGGUAGAUAGGUUUACUGCAGUGUGUGUG
rnacentral:lncRNA from 1 species